rnacentral:misc_RNA from 1 species
UAUUUGUUCUUUAACAAUGUGGUAAAAAGUAUAAGUAAAGAUUCCUUGAUUAAUUUAGGGUUAUUUUUAUUUUCGAUUGAGAUGUAUUUUUAUGUUUUGAUUGAUAAAUGGGAAUAAUUUUUAGUUUAUUUAAUUAACGAGUCUUGGUAAUUUUUGAAAACCGGUGUUGAGAUAUAGUUUUGAUUGGUUUUAGUUAAUAGAUUUUAGAUUUAUUGAUAUAAGACUUAUUG